AAAUUGAAGAGUUUGAUCAUGGCUCAGAUUGAACGCUGGCGGCAGGCCUAACACAUGCAAGUCGAACGGUAACAGGAAGCAGCUUGCUGCUUCGCUGACGAGUGGCGGACGGGUGAGUAAUGUCUGGGAAACUGCCUGAUGGAGGGGGAUAACUACUGGAAACGGUGGCUAAUACCGCAUAACGUCGCAAGACCAAAGAGGGGGACCUUCGGGCCUCUUGCCAUCAGAUGUGCCCAGAUGGGAUUAGCUUGUUGGUGAGGUAACGGCUCACCAAGGCGACGAUCCCUAGCUGGUCUGAGAGGAUGACCAGCCACACUGGAACUGAGACACGGUCCAGACUCCUACGGGAGGCAGCAGUGGGGAAUAUUGCACAAUGGGCGCAAGCCUGAUGCAGCCAUGCCGCGUGUAUGAAGAAGGCCUUCGGGUUGUAAAGUACUUUCAGCGGGGAGGAAGGUGUUGCGGUUAAUAACCGCAGCAAUUGACGUUACCCGCAGAAGAAGCACCGGCUAACUCCGUGCCAGCAGCCGCGGUAAUACGGAGGGUGCAAGCGUUAAUCGGAAUUACUGGGCGUAAAGCGCACGCAGGCGGUCUGUCAAGUCGGAUGUGAAAUCCCCGGGCUCAACCUGGGAACUGCAUUCGAAACUGGCAGGCUUGAGUCUUGUAGAGGGGGGU
rnacentral:rRNA from 1 species